UUUAGAAGUUGCAAGAGGCCAUUUAUAAAAUUGGAAUUUAUUUCAUUUCUUUAAUCAAUAUACAUGUGAUGCUUUUGCCAUUUAAUAUCUUUUAAAACAUUGAGCAAGUUAAAUGGGUAAACGCAAAUUUUAUAAUUGACUUUUGCAACUUUUAAGUGCUAGAAAUUAUUUAAUUAAAGUUAACAAAGCAUGAAAUUUUUACUUAUAAAAUGAUAACAAAAAUCUAUUUAUUACACACAAGCAAAUAAGAAAAAAAUAUGACUCAAAUAUCCAUGUUGGUUUAUGGAUUCAUCAUGUUUCUUUCUUUAUUUAUUGUUAUAACCAAUGGCAACAGUGGUCAAGCAACUCCAUGCUUAACAGAUUUGGAUUGCCCAAAUCUAUUUUAUUGCAAAGAGAAGUUUUGUGCACCCAUUGUGUGGAAACAUUCACCACGAGAUAAAUUUAGAACAAUUAAAGGCCAUAAAAAUGGAGAUAGAAUGUGAAUACUAGAUCUUUCAUUUUAGAAAAAUUCUAUGGUGAAGUCAUGUUUUGGAUUUGUUUGGUGAAUUAAUGAAAUAUUAUGUCGGAUAUAUCUUUUAGAACAUAGAUCUAAAAACAUAUAUCUAAUUAAAUACCCAUGAAACUGUUUUUAAGUUUUUUCCUAGGAUUAAAUAGGCAUUAUAUCCCUUGUACAAAUGAAUACCAUCUCAUAUCCGUUGCCUUCCACCCUCAAUAACACUUUAAUCUCAAGAUGUAUAUCUGCUUGGCUUAA